rnacentral:rRNA from 1 species
UACGUAGGGUGCAAGCGUUGUCCGGAAUCAUUGGGCGUAAAGCGCACGUAGGCGGUUCGUUAUGUCGGAUGUGAAAGCCCUUGGCUUAACCGAGGAAGUGCAUCCGAAACUGGCGAGCUAGAGUACGAAAAGAGGAUCGCGGAAUUCCCGGUGUAGCGGUGAAAUGCGUAGAUAUCGGAAGGAACACCAGUGGCGAAAGCGGCUUCCUGGUCCAGCACCGACGUUCAGGCACGAAAGCGUGGGGAGCAAACAGG